ACGGGUAGAUCGUAUUUUAAUCAAUUAAAAUAUAUAAUUAUUAAACUUAUAAGAUUAAAAAAUUAUAACUAAAUAAAAAUAUUAUCAAAUAGUGUUAUGUACAUUACAAAAAAAACUCUUUUAUUAAUAUUUUCUUAAUUUUUAAAUACUUAUAUUAUUCUAACAAUUUUAUUUAAUUAAAAAUUAAUCAAAUUUAAUAGUUUUGAAAAUUAUUCUAUAAAUAAUUUUUUUAGCUAAAAAAUUACAU
rnacentral:lncRNA from 1 species